AUCCUUCCGGUCAACAAGGUACAUGUACCUCGUCGACUGGAAGGGAAUCCUUCCGGUCGACGAGGUACAUGUACCUCGUCAACUGGAAGGAA
rnacentral:miRNA from 1 species